CCGCCUGGGGAGUACGGCCGCAAGGCUAAAAACUCAAAGGAAUUGACGGGGACCCGCACAAGCGGUGGAUGAUGUGGAUUAAUUCGAUGCAACGCGAAAAACCUUACCUACCCUUGACAUGUCAGGAAUCCCGAAGAGAUUUGGGAGUGCUCGCAAGAGAGCCUGAACACAGGUGCUGCAUGGCUGUCGUCAGCUCGUGUCGUGAGAUGUUGGGUUAAGUCCCGCAACGAGCGCAACCCUUGUCAUUAAUUGCCAUCAUUCAGUUGGGCACUUUAAUGAGACUGCCGGUGACAAACCGGAGGAAGGUGGGGAUGACGUCAAGUCCUCAUGGCCCUUAUGGGUAGGGCUUCACACGUCAUACAAUGGUCGGUCCAGAGGGUUGCCAACCCGCGAGGGGGGAGCCGAAUCUCAGAAAGCCGAUCGUAGUCCGGAUCGCAGUCUGCAACUCGACUGCGUGAAGUCGGAAUCGCUAGUAAUCGCGGAUCAGCAUGUCGCGGUG
rnacentral:rRNA from 1 species